rnacentral:lncRNA from 1 species
GGUGCCGCCAGCGCAGCCUGAGCCUAGCUGCCCGCCCGUGGGAUGGGGCUGCUGCACUCGCUGCACGCUCCCGCGGCUGCCCUGCUCUGGAGCUGCCUGCUCGGACUGGUGAGAGCCGCACUCCCCUCCCCUCCCCUCCGCUUUUCCCUCCCCUUCCUCCCGCUUCCUCCCCCUCCCCCUCCAUCCCUUCCUUUCCCUCUAACCUCCUCCGGAUUUCCCUCAUCCCUCCUCCUUCCCUACCUCCCCCUUCCUCUCCUUCUACCCUGGCUUCCCAUUCUCCCACUGCCCGGGCCCGGUUAACUGCCUUCGUCCUUGAGUCCCAGCAUUCCUCACCCGCCCCCAGCCCCCGAAAUCCAGCGAAAUGCCCAACCCCUGGGAGAAACCCGCGGGCGGGGGUAGGAGUGGGUGGGGAGCUUCCUCCUCCUUGGUCCUGGAGCCCUCUCUAUAAUUUUUCACUGUGCUGGCAUCUUUUCUUCUUAAUUCAAAGAAUUCACUUCUGUGCUUCUCUGUGUAGCCCAAUCUUACUGCUGCCUUUUGCCUAGAAAAAGGCGGAUGGAGGGGCCGGUGUGAACAGGGUUCCAGGUGUUAGCGUUCUGGCCUGCUCUUUUGUUGACUGCGCUCACAUACAUUUCUCUCUAUAGCCAUAUGAAUAUCUAUAUACUUUCCUUUCACUCCCAGAUAGUGCCUUCUAUGUAAGGUACAUGUGAUUAUACUAUGGGAUUUGUAUUAUGCUUUUGUUUUCAUAUAGGUAUACUUUAAAAUACCUUUAAAGGGGAAAUGAGAGGUUUGAAUAGUUUGACGUCUAAAAGGGUCAAAGUCUGGUUGAGAAAAAAAUAACAAAUAUGCGCUCACAUACCCAUAUUUGCUGAAAUAAUGUUUUAAAAUUCGGGAUCAAAGUAAUUUGAGCUCCAAUGUGUGACCAAGAAGCUAACUCUCAGUGUUUUAGAUUUUGUUUCUGUUCACUUUCUUUUCUGACAUUUGAUGUUGGGAAAUUUGUAUCGGUAUUGUUUGCACACUGUUGUGUAAACUGUGUAUGUAGUUAUUACUUAAAAACCAUCACUUCUCUGAAAGACUGCUUUGUCACUCUGGGCUUGAAAAGGUCAUGGAGAAGGUUUAAGCCCCAAACAGUUUUUUUUUUUUUUUUUUUUUUAAGGUAGCCUUUGGCGUUCUAGGAACUUUGCUGGACAGCAUUCGGAGAGAACCCAUUCAAAAAGUAUUUUGAGGAGAGAAUGACAGCACAGUAGCUUUACUUUGUAUCUUUAAAGCAGGAACUGAAUAACCAGACAAGUGUCAUUUAGGUCCAAAGAAAACUCACAGGAUAUGUAAAUGUCUCGGCCCUCUAGCUUAGCUGUCAAGCUUAACUCAUUUCAGGGAACUUAAGAUGAUUAAUACGAAAUAAUGUUUACGUACUUAUACCAUAGCUCCACUAAUUUUUCUCAAGGUAAAUCAAUAUUUAGCACAGUAAUACAUCUACUCUUGAUAAACCCACAUUUUUUGGGCACUCAGGAAGCUGAGGUCUGUGGAUCUCUUGAGUUUGGAGCCGGUUUGGUCUACAGAGAGUUCCAGGACAGCCUACAGAGAGAAAUCUUGUCUCAAGAAAACAAACCAAACCAAACAGAACAUACAAAGUGUUAAGUCCACACUGUGGUUGCUAUUAAAGAGCUCAGAAGAUACCUGGGUAAUGAUGGAUGUCAUGGAUACAAGGGUAAUGACGGCUACCUAUGUAGCAUGCUAUUUUUGUUGUUGUCUUAAUUCUUUCUUCAGACUUUUUUUUUCUCUGUAGCCCUGGCUGUCCUGGAACUCACUCUGUAGACCAGGCUGACUUCAAACACACAGAGAUCCCCCUGCCUCUGCCUCCUCUAAGAGCCGAGCUUAAAGGCUUGUGCCACCACUGACCUAUUUAGCAAGCUUGUUUUAGGUAUGGUCCCUGAAGUACUUGGCCUCCCCCAAACAGGGUCUGAAACUGGCUGCCCUUGAGCUCCCCAAGAAUAACAGUGAGUCUGACUGUCUGACUGUAGCGUGGGGAUUGUAGGCAUGAACCACCGUGCUCAAAUGGCUUCAUAAAUGGUAGGCGAGUGCUCGACUGAGCUAAAUCCCUAGCCAGCUGAGGAAUAAGAGUCUUGUUGUUGUUUGUUUGUUUUGUUUUUAAGGUUUGGAAAGUUGGUAAUAGGUUCCCUUGGUUGCGACUUUAAACAUGUCCCUUUUCUGAACAAACUAUAAGAUUUCCAAAUAUUUUUGUAGUGGCUUUGCUUUUGAUUCUUAGCAUAAAUCUUAACUACAAAUAUCUAUUAAUACCUGUGUGAGAUAAUCUGAACAAUGUGCUACCCGGACAUUGCCUCUUUCAGUCCUUUAAACUCAGCUUCCCACAGGGUCAGAGUUUGGACAAAAUGAAGACAAGUUCUUUACCAGAAUGGUACAGCAUGGUGCAUUUAGCCUAAUUCCAGAUAGAGUCAUCAUUCCGUCUGCAAAUUCAUGAGCCUGCUUUUUUACUAUCUGCAUUGAGGGCAGCAUCCCGCUAUUCUGUUCUCUCCCCAGAAUGGCCUUGAUAAGCUCUUUUUAUAGCAUGGUAGGCUUUCUCUAGACUGCUCCUCCAAACCUCCAAACUUCUCCUACACACUAAUGUCAAAGGCUUAUGAACCAUAUCAUCAGCUAUAAUCUGUCAUAAGCAACAACCUACCUCUGCAGUACCAUAUUUCUCAGCAUACUGUUAGUUGUGGCUGCUUGUGUUUUCACUGCUGACCCAUUUCCCUGGAUCUUGUGUUCUUUUUAUUUUUUAUUUUUUAAACUGGAAAUAUUUGGUUCCUUUUAAACAGCUAUUGAUGGUAUAAUACAACAAUUCCAGGUGAUACUAAUUUAAACAUUUACUAGUUCAGGGAAGGACAAUCUCAGCACAACGUAAAGCCAAGUGUCACGUGACUCCGCUGCUUUCUCAAGAAAGGAGGGAUGAAGGCAUGGUCAGAAUGGUGGUUGACAACUUGGACUCCUGUAGGUUGCUUAUGGGUCAUUUUGUAGAUAUACUGGCAGGCGAGAUGUUGGAAGCAAACCUACUGUUCUUAGAAACAACAGUAUGCUUAAAAUAGGAAAAAGAAAAAGAAAAAAAGUCGUACAUUUGAGCUCAUAUCUG